GUUGAUUGAGGUUAUAGUCAGGUCAGAUUUGGGUUUGGGUUAGGUGCAAUAAAAAUGCAUCAUAUGUGACGCAUUCUUCAUACCACAAACUAACCAUCUAUCAUCUUGAAGGUUGAUGCACUGUUUUUUUCAUAACUAAGACAUAUGAACGGCUCUAUGGAGUGGAGAAGUAGAGUGCAUCAGGUGGAUGGCGGUAUGGUAUUCCCCUACGCCCCCUUCUCUGAGCAGAUGUGAGAGGGGAAAUAGUGAUGGUGUAGACAAAGAGCGAGGAAGACAAAGUAAAAAUACUCCUCAUGCAUAAUUAUUUUAACCAGAGGAAAAUGCUUGCUUUAUUCUCCCACUUAAGCCACUCUGGACUAGUUAUCAUAUCAGUUAUCUGAUCAGACUUUGGUUUCACUUUAUUUUGAUGAUCCCUUUAACACAUUCAGUUACACUUUAUUUUAAGGUGACGUAGUUACAUUGUACUAACUCAAAUAGGUACUGAGUAAUAUUAAUUAACUAUAUGUACUUAAUAUAGAGUUAAGGUUAGGGUUAGUUACUGGUAAUUACGCAUAAUUAACUGUUAUUGCUAUAUUAAGUACAUGUAGUAACGUGUAACUACGUCACCUUAAAAUAAAGUUACCACACAUUCCGUUGACUAAAGUAAUGUUGCACCUACAUGUCUACUAACUAUCAAAGUGUUAGGAGAGUAUUACUGGUAGGGUUAGAACAAGUUGACAUGUAUUGCAAAGUUACUUAUAGUCAGUAAAAUGUCUGUUGGGGGACCAUCACAACAAAGAGUUAGCAGAUAUUGAACAGACAGUCUACUAAUACUCUAAUGAGAGUUAGUUGACAUGUAGUUGCAAAGUAACUUAUAAUCAACAGAAUGUUCAAAAGGGACCAUCAAAAAUAAAGUGUUACCCUGACCUUUUAUAAAUACAGGUAGUAAAAAUAAAAUUGUCACUAUCCCAAAUGUUAUCUCAAUUCACACAUUCAGUUACUUCUUUUUUUCUGCAGUUUUUGCUUGUGUUGUCAGACCUCGGUGUGUAGGACAACUGGUCACAGUCAAGACAGGAGAUUAGCAUAGUCAAGCAUAUUAUCAUAGCGACAGGAAGAGCUCUGUGGGUUUUAAAACACCAUUAGUGUGUGUGUGUGUGUGUGUGUGUGUGUGUUUGUGUGAAAAAGGAGUGUAAAGGCUAGGAAAACAGAUGAAUGUGUGAAAAAAGUUGAAGAGAUGGGUGGAGACUCUGCACUGCAAAACCGUUAAACAGACAAAAUGCCAAAGCAGCGCUUAGAGCCAUUCAAAGGUGAGUAUGACUUAACUAAAGAACUACUUGCACCAAGUGCAGUUUCAUCAUUUCACUCAGGGACGAUUACAUAAAGGACAUCUUAUUGUUAUGAGUCAAGAAGAGUUGCAGAGGGUAAAUGGUGGAAUUUUUGCCUUUGCAUAAAACAGCAAUAUUAUAAAAGGAUGCAAAACAAUUCUGGGAAUUUUUCCUGAUUUCAGUGGGAGCAAUAAUGAUUUAAGUCAUAGCAGAAAUAUUUUUUUUUUUCCCCCCAUUCUAAAUAUGAUACAAACACAGAUGCCUCAUUCAAAUAAAUAUUUUGAUGCUAACACAAAUGUAGCCUUUUGCUGCUUUCAGCUUAAAUAAUGUAAUCUAUUAUUCAAUUAUUCAUUCAUUGAUAUAUUCAUUUAACCGUUUAGUUUAAUUGUAGUAAGUUCAAAUGAAUAUUCUAACAUGAGACAAAUGUAAUAGUAUUCCUUGUGGACACCUGAAGAAUGUUUAAUAUAUUCUGGUUCACACAGGUGGCACUAAUUUAAUAUUAAUUUUCCGUGAGCAAGCAUCUUCACCACGUUCCUUUUUUUCUCUUGUUACAAACAAUAGUUUAUCUUAUCUAUGUAUAUAUAUAUUAGGAUACUUUUUUCAAAUCAUCUCAAUGGCAAAAAGUUUCCCAAUCAUGCUGAAUUCACCCAUAUAUAUAUAUGAUAAAAAUAAACAUUAAUAAACCAAUUAUAAACAUGCCUUCAGAAAUUACAAAUGUGGCUCUUUUGCAUAGUUUGUACAUAUUGGAUAAUGGUAUAAACACUGUAAAAAUAAUGAUUUCUAAUUAGGAGAGCUGAACUUCUAAAAGCUGUUUAGUUUUUCUCUGUAACUUUUGUCAAAUGGGAUAUCCAUUGACUGGCCUGCCUUGCAUCAGUGAGUAUUUCAUCACAUUUGAGGGCGUAGGAUAGAGUGAUUGCUAUCUUUCAAAGAUGAUAUGCAGGAACUGCUUUCUGAAGCUGUCACAGAAAUAAAAGAAGCUCACUUUAGAAGCCUCAUUUACAUUGGCCACACUUCAUCACUCUGCCAUUGAGAACACUCGUUUUAUUCACUUCAUCAUUUCAUUUCUCUCUUUCUCUGCGCACAUUUUAAGGUGCCACAUUAACGUGUAAAAUAGAUUUUACAUUCAAACACGCCUGAAACAAAGUGCAAUAAAUGUUGUCAUAUAUAGAGGUAUUACGCUAUUGAGAUGCGGAAAAAGUUACAAACAUAAACUGUGAAACUGUUAUUUUAAGUGAACGGAUGUGAAAGCCAUCCUUUUUUCUUUCUUUAAAAGAUAGAUUAAAGUUGUUUUAAUCGCCUCAGUAAGUUAAAAACUGUACGGAACUAUAAAAAAGCGGUUAUUGUUUUCUUGAAGGCCUACAUUACAGAUUUGAUAAUUAUUUUUAAUUGGUAAUUAUUCGUAUCUUCGUAAAAUAAAAUUUGUUUGUCUAUUGUUUGUCUUAAAAAAAUAGAUGAAUCAUUUAUCUCUAAUAAUGUGAGAAGUGUUUUUGUCUCUCGCGCGCGGUGUAUUUUUACACAAUCGAUCAAUACAGUUUCUCUUGUGUUGCACAUAUGACUCGUUCCGUGAGCACUAACGAGUGUACAUGAAACCAAACAAGGGCACAAAAGAGAAACUCGAGACACUCACGGAUCCACGGAGAAAGAAAUGACCAAAGACAUCGUGUGUUUUCAACUGGUGGAUUCAACUGAGCUGCUUCCAGAGCGGACUGUUUUCAACAUAGAAGUGCAAAGACGACAAAGGGGGAAACAGGAAACCAGCAUGUUCCUAUUUCCUGUAAGCAGGUGAAGCUGCACUGGUAUUCUUUCUUUUAUUCUCCAAACCACAGUUCUUGGGGUGCAAAACUAGAGCAUUUCAGAAAUGCAUGUCUUUUGUUUUCUUUUAAGAUCAGAUCAGGCAAAGUUUUAUUUGCAUUGCCAUUGCUGCGUAACCACAAAGUAGCUCUCUCCACGAGCAGUUUGUAAGUGCGUUUUGAAUGUAUCAAGGCAAUAAAAGUAUGCAGAAGAGGAUCUAUGAGAAAAUGAUGCACUCAUUUAUCCGCAUGGACACACAUAUAGUCAAAUACAUAAGCCCACACACACCCACGUCGAAUGUUUAAGACAAUGGCACAACCUCCACAUUUUCAGAAGCACUCAUCUAAAUCAAGGGAAAUUAUGCUAAUAAAACAUCUCAUUAUUCAGAGCUCAGAGAAUCAUUCAUUGACAUAGCAUCAUUAUAGAUCUAUUCACAAACACAGAUUGGAUUUCAUGAAAAGGGAGGCUCUCAUUUCCCACACUUCUUCACCGUUUAUUAUUCUCUUUAAGGAACAUGCCGUGCUUUUAGAAUUAUUUCAUGGAAAGUACCGGGGCUUUGGGAUGAAUGUAAGGGUUUCCUGGUGGGACAGUGGUGACCAUUCCUGAUAGAGGCGCCUUGUGUCCAUAGUGUGGGGAGCUCCAGAAAACAGUGUCAGAGUCUGACUUACGACAAAAGCUGUAAAGGUAAAAAAAACAGUUUGGAGACAUUUGAAUUAUCACCAAAUAAGGAGUAGGAGAGAGUUAGAGGAAGUUGUAAAGGUGCCGACUUUCUGCUGUAAGGAAAAGAGAUGGGAGGCCUGUUUUAUCGGCAAAGGAAACAGAUUUCAGAGCACCGGUGACUCCAGGAAAAUGGAUCUGGGUUGAGUAAAAACCACGAUUACCACCGGCAACAAGAGCAGCUCAGCUUUGGAUAGGGCCAUCUGGAGAGGUCUGCUCCAAAAAGACGGUAAACCAGCUCUUCUGGGGCCCAGCUAGGAAACACGUUUUCAAAAAAAACCACCCGGUCCCUGGGUGAGGAGUUUGGUUUUCCUCCAGUGCUUCUCUCAAACACCUCCUCCUCCUUCUUCCUCUUUACUCGAGCUGCAGAUGCCUCAUUCCUACUCAUUCUGAAAGCCGAGGACGUUUUGCCGUUGCAGACGGAGGGUGGAAGAGUGCUGCUGGCUGGUUUUGUUCCCGGUAGUGUCUGUCUGAUUUGACUCUUCACAAACCCACAGAAAAUAACAAUGUUGCAUGACUUUUUGGGCUUUUUUCAUUUAAAAAGUGGAUAAUUAAAAUAUAUUCUUCCA